rnacentral:lncRNA from 1 species
GCUGGAUCUCAAGUUUAAGAACUUUUGAUUUUCAUUGCACAAAUACUGUUCUUACUUUUUUUUCUUUUCAUUACACUGAAAGCCAUACAGUACCACACAGGCAAGUUAAUUAUUUUGGAAAGUUACUCUCAAAACAGAAAUUCAGAAAAUUUCACUCGUGCGAUAGCUCUGGAAUGGCUAACUCAACAAACUACAGCGGUUAUUCCCAUUUGUAAUGCAAAGCUCAGAAUACCAUGGCAUAGAUACUGCUAUUGCCCAUCCAAAUAAACAGAAGCACUUACCCAAGAUCCCAGAGUAAGCAAGUUCCACAGCUGGGAUAAAGAUCAGUAUUCAGGUUGCAGGCUCUGACAUCCUCACUGCUUCUCCAUUGUUUCUCUCUGGGUGCUUAAUACACACAAAAGUAAUACCAAAUUUCUGCCCAUAAAGGCAGAAUUGGUGGAAUAUGUCAAGUUUUUGACAACAGACAAUGUUGAAGCAAUGCCCAAUCUCAACGUGAGGAAAAAGCUUCAGAAUGGAGGAACAGCAGAAGUGGAGUGGAAACUUUAUACCGAAGCUCAGUAGAAAUCCCAGUCUCCUUAGGCAUGAGAUGGAGGAACCAUUGCAAAGAAGAGGAAACCUAAAAUGGCUCUCCACAUUUGGAAGAGGAUGCUUUCUCGUAUUCGUCAGAAUAACAUGGAUGUUGAAAAAGACACAAAUGAAGAAAUUGUGUGCAACCUAUGACUGUCACUUCUUAUUAUAUGAGACAUCUAUAAUACUAUGUUGGCCACAGUUCAUGAUGUUCCUAUGUAGUGGUCAAUACAUUUAUAAAUGUGGAACUGAAAUUUCUUCUGGAAAUAAAAUAUACCUCAAGAACAAAUUGAGCAAAAAGGUAUUUAUGGUGUUGAAAUAUAUGAAUACAAACUGGACACAUAUUGAAUACUUUGAACUUUAAAUGACAAAGCAUAUCCACAUAGCAAACCACACACAGACAAGGAAAUUACUUUAAAAAUUUGCAAAGCCACAAUCCAUCAAAUAGCAUAUGCCAGG